AUUGAACGCUGGCGGCAGGCCUAACACAUGCAAGUCGAGCGGAUGAAGGGAGCUUGCUCCUGGAUUCAGCGGCGGACGGGUGAGUAAUGCCUAGGAAUCUGCCUGGUAGUGGGGGAUAACGUCCGGAAACGGGCGCUAAUACCGCAUACGUCCUGAGGGAGAAAGUGGGGGAUCUUCGGACCUCACGCUAUCAGAUGAGCCUAGGUCGGAUUAGCUAGUUGGUGGGGUAAAGGCCUACCAAGGCGACGAUCCGUAACUGGUCUGAGAGGAUGAUCAGUCACACUGGAACUGAGACACGGUCCAGACCCCUACGGGAGGCAGCAGUGGGGAAUAUUGGACAAUGGGCGAAAGCCUGAUCCAGCCAUGCCGCGUGUGUGAAGAAGGUCUUCGGAUUGUAAAGCUUUAAGUUGGGAGGAAGGGCAGUAAGUUAAUACCUUGCUGUUUUGACGUUACCAACAGAAUAAGCACCGGCUAACUUCGUG
rnacentral:rRNA from 1 species